rnacentral:lncRNA from 1 species
UUAAACGCCACAGAGGAGCAGUGAGCGCACAAGAGAUAAAACACAGAGCCAGGGUAACAAGUCAGUGGAGAGAAGCCGAGAGAACAUCAGAACAGCCCUGGGUGCGCCCACAGACAGCAAGAAAGAGCCAAGGACGUGGCCUACUGAAAAAUGUCUCUUGGUAGAGCUUUAGAACCCGUGCUUAAAUAAACCAGGAGCACUCUAUGUGUGUAGUUGUGUCAGAGGCCAGAAGAAGCCGGAUGAGCUGCCUGCUGGGAAUGCCUGAAACUGACCCUGGGUCCUCUGUAGGAGCAACCAGUGCUCUUAACCAUUGAGCCAUCUCUACAGCAUCCCUCAAGAUUUAUCAUCACCAUCACCACCACCACCAUCAUCACCAUCACCAUCACCAUCAUCAUCACCAUCACUACCACCACCACCAUCAUCAUCAUCACCAUCUUCUUUAAACCAAAAGCAACAUUGCUAG